GCCGCUGCGACUGUUUAUUAAAAACACAGCACUCUGCAAACACGAAAGUGGACGUAUAGGGUGUGACGCCUGCCCGGUGCCGGAAGGUUAAUUGAUGGGGUUAGCGCAAGCGAAGCUCUUGAUCGAAGCCCCGGUAAACGGCGGCCGUAACUAUAACGGUCCUAAGGUAGCGAAAUUCCUUGUCGGGUAAGUUCCGACCUGCACGAAUGGCGUAACGAUGGCGGCGCUGUCUCCACCCGAGACUCAGUGAAAUUGAAAUCGCUGUGAAGAUGCAGUGUAUCCGCGGCUAGACGGAAAGACCCCGUGAACCUUUACUGUAGCUUUGCACUGGACUUUGAGCCUGCUUGUGUAGGAUAGGUGGGAGGCUUUGAAGCGUGGACGCCAGUUCGCGUGGAGCCAUCCUUGAAAUACCACCCUGGCAUGCUUGAGGUUCUAACUCUGGUCCGUGAUCCGGAUCGAGGACAGUGUAUGGUGGGCAGUUUGACUGGGGCGGUCUCCUCCUAAAGAGUAACGGAGGAGUACGAAGGUGCGCUCAGACCGGUCGGAAAUCGGUCGUAGAGUAUAAAGGCAAAAGCGCGCUUGACUGCGAGACAGACACGUCGAGCAGGUACGAAAGUAGGUCUUAGUGAUCCGGUGGUUCUGUAUGGAAGGGCCAUCGCUCAACGGAUAAAAGGUACUCCGGGGAUAACAGGCUGAUACCGCCCAAGAGUUCAUAUCGACGGCGGUGUUUGGCACCUCGAUGUCGGCUCAUCACAUCCUGGGGCUGAAGCCGGUCCCAAGGGUAUGGCUGUUCGCCAUUUAAAGUGGUACGCGAGCUGGGUUUAGAACGUCGUGAGACAGUUCGGUCCCUAUCUGCCGUGGACGUUUGAGAUUUGAGAGGGGCUGCUCCUAGUACGAGAGGACCGGAGUGGACGAACCUCUGGUGUUCCGGUUGUCACGCCAGUGGCAUUGCCGGGUAGCUAUGUUCGGAAAAGAUAACCGCUGAAAGCAUCUAAGCGGGAAACUUGCCUCAAGAUGAGAUCUCACUGGGAACUUGAUUCCCCUGAAGGGCCGUCGAAGACUACGACGUUGAUAGGCUGGGUGUGUAAGCGUUGUGAGGCGUUGAGCUAACCAGUACUAAUUGCCCGUGAGGCUUGACCA
rnacentral:rRNA from 1 species